GCACAAUAUUUUAAUAGUUUUCUUCCAUGAAGAAAGAGAAGACUCGCCACAAGCAAAAUAUUACAUCCAGACAGAGUUUUCUCUCCCACAGCGCAUUCUUUCUUAAACUAAAUCAACAAGGGAAUAAAUAGGAAAGACGAGAAGACAGGCUCCCCCAGGCUAGUGGAGAUUACAGUUUGGUUUAUACCCAGUCAGACGGUGUUGUCCACAGCGUGAACAUUCAAAUCUAAAAAUAGAACAAACCAGAGCAUUGUUAUUGGUGAGGAAGAGGGGUUCAUUAUUUUCUUUCAUCUUUAAGAAUUAUGUGUAAUUUUCCGUUCAAAGCUCUGCUCUGGUCUGAGGUGAUUUGAUCUUGAGAAAGCGACUGCAUGUGCCUCCUGUGGCUCUAAUGGUUCUGAUGUGAAAUUCUUUAAAGGGAUAUUUGUAACAUUUUCAGCUUCAUAUUCAUCAUCUCCAGCACCACCCCAACAUCAACAUAUGUGAAAAUGUCACGUUUCUAUUUUUUGUAGUAAAAAAAAGAUGGAAGUGAAAUGUUUCCAGUGACAUCAUCGGUGUGCAUCGUGAUUUUAACCAAUUAUGAGGAAGUAUUGCCAAUUUCCAAUUAAUUGUGUACUAAUUGGAAACUAUCUUUCUGACUACAGAAAUGUGCAAUUUUGGGGUGGUGCUGGAGGUGAGGAAUAUGAAGUUGAGAAAGGGGUGGUGCUGGAGGUGAGGAAUAUGAAGUUGAGAAAGGGGUGGUGCUGGAGGUGAGGAAUAUGAAGUUGAGAAAGGGGUGGUGCUGGAGGUGAGGAAUAUGAAGUUGAGAAAGGGGUGGUGCUGGAGGUGAGGAAUAUGAAGUUGAGAAAGGGGUGGUGCUGGAGGUGAGGAAUAUGAAGUUGAGAAAGGGGUGGUGCUGGAGAUGAGGGAUAUGAAGUUGAGAAAGGGGUGGUGCUGGAGAUGAGGGAUAUGAAGUUGUGAAAGGGGUGGUACUGGAGAUGAGGGAUAUGAAGUUGUGAAAGGGGUGGUACUGGAGAUGAGGGAUAUGAAGUUGUGAAAGGGGUGGUACUGGAGAUGAGGGAUAUGAAGUUGUGAAAGGGGUGGUACUGGAGAUGAGGAAUAUGAAGUUGAGAAAGGGUGGUGCUGGAGAUGAGGAAUAUGAAGUUGAGAAAGGGGUGGUGCUGGAGAUGAGGAAUAUGAAGUUGAGAAAAGGGGUGGUGCUGGAGAUGAGGAAUAUGAAGUUGAGAAAGGGGUGGUGCUGGAGGUGAGGAAUAUGAAGUUGAGAAAGGGGUGGUGCUGGAGGUGAGGAAUAUGAAGUUGAG
ensembl:lncRNA